CCUACGGGUGGCAGCAGUGGGGAAUAUUGGACAAUGGGCGAAAGCCUGAUCCAGCCAUGCCGCGUGUGUGAAGAAGGCCUUCGGGUUGUAAAGCACUUUCAGUGGGGAAGAAAGCCUUGGGGCUAAUACCCUCGAGGAAGGACAUCACCCACAGAAGAAGCACCGGCUAACUCCGUGCCAGCAGCCGCGGUAAUACGGAGGGUGCGAGCGUUAAUCGGAAUUACUGGGCGUAAAGCGCGCGUAGGCGGUCUGAUAAGCCGGUUGUGAAAGCCCCGGGCUCAACCUGGGAACGGCAUCCGGAACUGUCAGGCUUGAGUGCAGGAGAGGAAGGUAGAAUUCCCGGUGUAGCGGUGAAAUGCGUAGAGAUCGGGAGGAAUACCAGUGGCGAAGGCGGCCUUCUGGACUGACACUGACGCUGAGGUGCGAAAGCGUGGGUAGCAAACAGGAUUAGAUACCCUAGUAGUC
rnacentral:rRNA from 1 species